AAGACCUUGCGCUUUUGGAGCGGCCGAUGCCUGAUUAGCUAGUUGGUAAGGUAAAAGCUUACCAAGGCUUCGAUCAGUAGCUGGUCUGAGAGGACGGCCAGCCACACUGGGACUGAGACACGGCCCAGACUCCUACGGGAGGCAGCAGUGGGGAAUUUUGGACAAUGGGGGCAACCCUGAUCCAGCCAUGCCGCGUGAGUGAAGAAGGCCUUCGGGUUGUAAAGCUCUUUCAGCCGGAACGAAACGGUUACGGUUAAUACCCGUGAUUACUGACGGUACCGGAAGAAGAAGCACCGGCUAACUACGUGCCAGCAGCCGCGGUAAUACGUAGGGUGCGAGCGUUAAUCGGAAUUACUGGGCGUAAAGCGUGCGCAGGUGGUUUUGUAAGUCAGAUGUGAAAGCCCCGGGCUCAACCUGGGAACU
rnacentral:rRNA from 1 species